CGUUGCCUGCUGGAGGAACUGGGGACUUAACUAAUUCAGCCUGCUUUCAUUCAAGUGUGCCAGACGGCAGGCGCAUACACAUCCAGAGACUCCCCUUUUCUCUUUGGCGCUUAUAAGAAAAAGGCAUCUGCAACUGCACUCCAACUCAUAGAUGGCACCUGGCAUUCUAAAUAACUAAUAGAAGGUUCUGCUCUGCUUUUCUGGAAAGGGCUGACUCUUCACGAAGAUGAAAGAGAAGGCAUACUUUGCAUGAGCAUAGUUCUGCUUCUCUGGCAAAACAAAGCUUUCAAUCUAUUUUCCAGAUACUCCAGAGAUGUUCCUGAACAAGUUGUCUGUCCGUGAAAGCUUUAAAGGUAAUACUUAAACGGCCAACCAGAGCCAGGAAAGGAAAAUAAGUCUGUUGAAGAAUCUUAGAAGCCAAAUCUUCUGAACCUAGGCCUACUGCUAUGAGCAUCUCUAAGACCUCCUCCAUCUGAGAAUUACCGGGUCCAACAGCAUUUCCCCUCCAACCUACAGUGAGGGACAUCAAGAAGGCUGUAGAAAAUUCAUGUCCUCUAGACUUACAGCCCUUAAGCUAUGCAGUUGGGCAAGAACUUUCGUCUCCAUCCUUAGGGACGAUUCAGAAAGACAGACAAGUAGGGGUGAAAACUCAGACAUAAUGACCCAGAAAUAUGUAAAUGCCUUUAGAAGGUCUCCUCACCGAAACACCCAAUUACAUUCAUGUAAUUAGUCCACACAUACAGACAGGCCGUAGAUAAGAGGGAUCCCUUUUUCCCCUCUACCAAAAUAGAGUAAAAGUCUGAUAUGAUACUCUAAGAGACUCUUGUCCCCAUUCCAGUAUUAUAAAGCAGUUUCACCACACUUAAUCAGUAUAAGAGUAGCAGAGUGAGAAAUAAAGCUUUACUUCUAGA